GGUCAAUAAAACAUCCAGAGAGGUUCGCACCAGGCAGAAAAUUUCUCCAAAGUGCCACUGGCCGGUGGCUAGCUCGAUGGCAGCAAAGGGCAUCACAAGCAGCGCAACCAGCAGCCCUAUAGCAGAACAAUGAGCCGUAGUGCAAUCUGAAAAAUCUGCAACACAAGCAUUUACCAGCCCUUCUGCAAUUUACUAUGGUAAGAUUAGUAUUUUUUUAUCUAUUUAUUUUAGGAAUAGUUUAUUUGUAUAGUAAGUAGUGUAUUCUAUAUUUUAUCUGCUGGUAGAGUGAUACACCAACCAACAAAAAAACAGAGUUGUCCCUGUGUUAUUCUUACCCGUUUCCAGAUAUUGUGCAGUUCAAUUUGUCCACCAAAAUCCAAUCAAACAUUUGCAUCAUUUUAAGGUCAUAUUAAAUUCAGAAAAGUUCAUAGUUGAAAAAUUUUUGGUGAAUUUUAAAUCAUGUGUUUUGUUUCCAGAUGUUUUUGCUACUUUCUACAAUUAGGUUAUUUAUUGGCUUCUCUUUUUUCUAGUGUUGGCAGGUUUGUAUGAAUUUUGGGUGACUUGAUCAUAACUUAUUUUAAAUCUUUUUACCAUUACUCAAUAAAAAUAUAUUCCUUUUCAAACAGAAUGAUGUCUGCAAACAAACUUAUGCAUACAUGUAAACUAAGCUAAGGGAACACACUGGAAAUCUGGGUUGUAUUUUCCUAGAUUGAGGUAAUAUAUUUUUAGAAUGUCUAGCUGAGGUCUCUGAGGUAAAACCCCUUCAGAGAUUGUGUCCUCCUUUCCUUUAUUAACUAACAGUCAUAAUUUAAUCAUUCCAGUGAAGAGGAACAGCAGCACAAUCAUCUGAAAACAUUAAUUAUAAAAAAAGCUGUGAAUAUCAUUCAUAGGUUUCUAUCACUUCAAGAUUAAAAAUCCUUGCAUAGUCCCUGCAUCUGCAAUUCUUUUUGAAAAUUGCUCAUUUGUCCUUUUGUCUUCCUGCUUCUUGAUUACUCAAUUACUCCCACUAAAAUAAAUUAUAAAGAUAUAAAUAAGAAAAUUCUAAGUAAGGACAAAGGACAGAGAGAAUCCAGAGACUGAGGAAAGGAAGGAAAAGAAUUUCUGAGUGGCGGCUGCAAUUUUUUUGGGAGUGAUUUCCUUCCAAGGAGGCGUGUUUUCACAGCUCACCGAUUUCAUUUCACAACUGACUGACACAGAGCUGAGCUGAACAAAAUAAACUUUGUAAAGCAGGGGCAGAAAAAGGUUAGGCGGAUUUUUAUGUCUGUUUUGUAUUGGCUGUGCGGCAAACAGCUUUUAUUAUUAAUACCAUCACUGCCAAUAGACACUGAAUACCUAACUUUAAACAUAAGUUAAUAACGUUAAUACCACGUCUAUAUCUAUAAAUAAAUGUACUUCAUUCCAGUUAUAUUGACUGGAUAAAUUUGCUUUAGUGGAGGUGUGGGAAACUAAUUGCUACUUUCCACGUCUGAAUUCAAGCACAAUACGAUCACAGGUUAAACUUUACAUUUAAUUGGCAGUUUCAAAGUUACCAAUUAGGAAUUAGGAAGGAAACUGAGUCACAAUGCUACCAGUUUUUUUUUGUUUGUUUUUUUUUUGCAAAUCUCACUUACAAAAAUCAACUUUCUGUAUUUUUACCAGGUGGAAUGUUAGUGUCCUAACUGGAGCUAUAUUUCAUAAUACAAUUUUAAAGUUGGAAUAAAGCUUUGCAAGCUUGCAAAGAGUUUGUAAAGACAUUUAAAAAAUCUCAUUGUACAAAAAUAUCACUCGGGAGAAGGAUUCAAAAAAUCCAAAACUUUUCAAAUUGAAUAAAACACGGAAAUCAGUCAGAAAAGAAAACUUUACAGUAUUAUUUUACUGUGGAGCAGGUUGAUAAUAGACAAUAUUAUAAUCACAGAUAUGGCCCAUAUUAAAAUGUUAUUCAGAAUUAUUAAUUGAGUUCAGGAAAACAAUGCAUUUAUAGAACUUGAAGAACAGUGAAUUGCUUUGAACAAUCUGUAUUAGAUGCUUAAUUAGCACUCUGUGAAUAAUGAAGCAACAAAUCUGUUCAACUCUGUGACUGAACAGAUUUGUUUUUUUUGCAGACUCCGCAGAGUAGCACGUUUUGGACAUAAUGUGUUUUUAAUUCAUGUCUGUUAGUUUGUGUGGGAAUAAUUUGAAUUUUGACUCCAUAUCCUUUAAGUUUCCUCUUUUGUUUGCUGCCAUCGUUGUUAUUGCUGUUGCCACAUGUGCAGGUCAUCUUGCCCUUUUGCAGUUUGUGGUAAAUAAUGUGGCAAUUAAUACCAGGUAGGAUGACACUGCUGCUUCUCCUCCUCUCCUGUAUCAGUCACUUUUACUUGCACUGACUUUUCAAAGCAAAGCUGCACAAUUCAUGUGAAUGUUACUUUUUGAUGGGCCAGAAGAUGCAUAAGUUGACAGAAAUUACAAAGUAAAUGGAUGUUUUCAAAGUGGUUUAUGCCAAGCAAAUAUUUAAUUGAUAUCUGUGUGAUUAUUAAUUGGUUUUAAGUAAUUAAAAUCACACAGUUAUACAAUCAUUUUAAAAAACUGUGAAAUUUCAAGAACUGGACACUUUUCCAAAUUACUACCCACACGAAACAUGUUGGUGGCUUUGGCUGCAAUGCUCAUUAUCUCAGGUCUAAAUGGAAAGCAGAAAGAUUUUAACACUACUAUUUGUUUAUUUAUCGCAAGCCAUAUCAUCAUUGCAGCAUUCCCAACUAUUCUUCCUUACCAUAGACGUAUAUUUAUAUUCUGCUGCCUUAGUAGUGGCAGUGUCAUACGCCAGAGUUACUUUUAGUAAAAGUGAUGGAAAAGUUCCAAGUCAAUUUUGUCUGAAAACUUUCAGGUGUUUGCUAGACAGGCAAAUAUAGAGAAAAAUAUCUUCCCCUAAUAAAAUCAAUGUUUUGAAUACGACCUAAACCAUAAUCUAUGCUUCUUACGUUCUCACCUAUUGCUGUACUUGAACAGUAAUACAGUGUAGGUGCUUUUUUAUUGUGAAACACUGUUUUAUGUCCUGCCCCUGUGUAAAUAAAUAUAACCUGUACAAACAA